UACGUAGGGUGCGAGCGUUGUCCGGAAUUAUUGGGCGUAAAGAGCUCGUAGGCGGUCUGUCGCGUCGGCUGUGAAAACCCGGAGCUCAACUCCGGGCCUGCAGUCGAUACGGGCAGACUGGAGUUCGGCAGGGGAGACUGGAAUUCCUGGUGUAGCGGUGAAAUGCGCAGAUAUCAGGAGGAACACCGGUGGCGAAGGCGGGUCUCUGGGCCGAUACUGACGCUGAGGAGCGAAAGCGUGGGGAGAGAACAGG
rnacentral:rRNA from 1 species